AUGUGGCUGUCUCCUUGUUCGCAGGGAAUUGCCAAUGUCCGAGCCUUGAGCUGAGGCUGAGCCCGGCGACAAUCACCGAGGUCUCUCGUAUCGUCUACCACGGGUUCGCUUUCGUCCGGGUGCCCACCUCGGCCGCCGCGACAUUGCACCUGGCGCUGGGCUCGCAGGUGAUUCCGGGAACACCUCCACGUGUCGCCUUCAUCAAUGGGGCACCUGUCACCUUGUCCUUCCAGAAUGUGGACAGUCAGUAGAGCACAUCCACAACCCCUUCUGCUGGAGAAUGACAUGUCAUCCCUACAUGCCAGUGUGGAGCUCCCCUGUCUCCCCUUCCUCCCCAGGGCCUGAGGGUGCCCCUGCCCCCUGUCUGCUACUGGAGGAGGACCAGGAACCACUGGAGUCUCAUACACAGAUUGAGCCAAAGUGAGGGACUUUGAGUUGCAGCUCUUGGGAGUGUUUCUUGCCCAGGAGAGGCGGAGCCAAGAUCAGCUGAGGGCAGAGCUAAACAACCUGCAGCUGGGGUUAUGCUCAGGUCAAGGACCAGCUUUCCCAUGACUCCUCACCACUCAAACAACAGUGAAUUAAAGUGUUACUGUGUACUGUC